CGUAGGUGGCAAGCGUUGUCCGGAUUUAUUGGGCGUAAAGCGAGCGCAGGCGGUCUUCUAAGUCUGAUGUGAAAGCCCCCGGCUCAACCGGGGAGGGUCAUUGGAAACUGGGAGACUUGAGUGCAGAAGAGGAGAGUGGAAUUCCAAGUGUAGCGGUGAAAUGCGUAGAUAUUUGGAGGAACACCAGUGGCGAAGGCGACUCUCUGGUCUGUAACUGACGCUGAGGCUCGAAAGCGUGGGGGAGCAAACAGGAUU
rnacentral:rRNA from 1 species